CCUACGGGUGGCAGCAGUAGGGAAUCUUCGGCAAUGGACGAAAGUCUGACCGAGCAACGCCGCGUGAGUGAAGAAGGUUUUCGGAUCGUAAAACUCUGUUGGUAGGGAAGAACGUUGGUGAGAGUGUAAAGCUCAUCAAGUGACGGUAACUACCCAGAAAGGGACGGCUAACUAGGUGCCAGCAGCCGGGGUAAUACGUAGGUCCCGAGCGUUGUCCGGUUUAAUUGGGCGAAAGGCGAGUGGAGUUGGUUUAUUAAGUCUGGUGUAAAAGGCAGGGGCCAAACCAUAGAAUGCAUUGGAAACUGGUAGACUUGAGUGCAGGAGAGGAGAGUGGAAUUCCAUGUGUAGCGGUGAAAUGCGUAGAUAUAUGGAGGAACACCGGUGGCGAAAGCGGCUCUCUGGACUGUAACUGACACUGAGGCUCGAAAGCGUGGGGAGCAAACAGGAUUAGAUACCCUGGUAGUC
rnacentral:rRNA from 1 species